AAGGCUGAGGCGUGAUGACGAGGCACUACGGUGCUGAAGCAACAAAUGCCCUGCUUCCAGGAAAAGCCUCUAAGCAUCAGGUAACAUCAAAUCGUACCCCAAACCGACACAGGUGGUCAGGUAGAGAAUACCAAGGCGCUUGAGAGAACUCGGGUGAAGGAACUAGGCAAAAUGGUGCCGUAACUUCGGGAGAAGGCACGCUGAUAUGUAGGUGAAGUCCCUCGCGGAUGGAGCUGAAAUCAGUCGAAGAUACCAGCUGGCUGCAACUGUUUAUUAAAAACACAGCACUGUGCAAACACGAAAGUGGACGUAUACGGUGUGACGCCUGCCCGGUGCCGGAAGGUUAAUUGAUGGGGUCAGCGCAAGCGAAGCUCUUGAUCGAAGCCCCGGUAAACGGCGGCCGUAACUAUAACGGUCCUAAGGUAGCGAAAUUCCUUGUCGGGUAAGUUCCGACCUGCACGAAUGGCGUAAUGAUGGCCAGGCUGUCUCCACCCGAGACUCAGUGAAAUUGAACUCGCUGUGAAGAUGCAGUGUACCCGCGGCAAGACGGAAAGACCCCGUGAACCUUUACUAUAGCUUGACACUGAACAUUGAGCCUUGAUGUGUAGGAUAGGUGGGAGGCUUUGAAGUGUGGACGCCAGUCUGCAUGGAGCCGACCUUGAAAUACCACCCUUUAAUGUUUGAUGUUCUAACGUUGACCCGUAAUCCGGGUUGCGGACAGUGUCUGGUGGGUAGUUUGACUGGGGCGGUCUCCUCCUAAAGAGUAACGGAGGAGCACGAAGGUUGGCUAAUCCUGGUCGGACAUCAGGAGGUUAGUGCAAUGGCAUAAGCCAGCUUGACUGCGAGCGUGACGGCGCGAGCAGGUGCGAAAGCAGGUCAUAGUGAUCCGGUGGUUCUGAAUGGAAGGGCCAUCGCUCAACGGAUAAAAGGUACUCCGGGGAUAACAGGCUGAUACCGCCCAAGAGUUCAUAUCGACGGCGGUGUUUGGCACCUCGAUGUCGGCUCAUCACAUCCUGGGGCUGAAGUAGGUCCCAAGGGUAUGGCUGUUCGCCAUUUAAAGUGGUACGCGAGCUGGGUUUAGAACGUCGUGAGACAGUUCGGUCCCUAUCUGCCGUGGGCGCUGGAGAACUGAGGGGGGCUGCUCCUAGUACGAGAGGACCGGAGUGGACGCAUCACUGGUGUUCGGGUUGUCAUGCCAAUGGCACUGCCCGGUAGCUAAAUGCGGAAGAGAUAAGUGCUGAAAGCAUCUAAGCACGAAACUUGCCCCGAGAUGAGUUCUCCCUGACUCCUUGAGAGUCCUGAAGGAACGUUGAAGACGACGACGUUGAUAGGCCGGGUGUGUAAGCGCAGCGAUGCGUUGAGCUAACCGGUACUAAUGAACCGUGAGGCUUAACCUUACAACGCCGAAGGUGUUU
rnacentral:rRNA from 1 species